UUGCCACACUUCCGGGGCGGGCCGCUGUGAACGGCGAUUCCAGUGUUUCGGCUCCUUGCGAACUUGUGUUUCGAUUCUCCCAGGUGCAAUGAGCUUCCUCAAAAGUUUUCCGCCGCCGGGUCCGGCAGAGGGGCUCCGGCACCAGCAGUCAGAUACCGAGGCUGUGCUGAACGGGAAAAGCCUCGGCAUUGGCAGCCUUUACAUCGCGGAGAGCCGCCUGUCUUGGUUAGAUGGUUCCGGAUUAGGAUUCUCAUUGGAAUACCCCACCAUUAGUUUACAUGCUGUUUCCAGGGACCUAAAUGCCUAUCCACGGGAACAUUUGUAUGUUAUGGUGAAUGCUAAAUUUGGAGAAGAAGUAAAAGAAUCUCUUGAUGAAGAAGAGGAAGACAGUGAUGAUGAUAUUGAACCUAUUACUGAAUUUAGAUUUGUUCCUAGUGAUAAAUCAGCAUUGGAGGCGAUGUUCACUGCAAUGUGUGAGUGCCAGGCUUUGCACCCAGAUCCUGAGGAUGAAGACUCAGAUGAUUAUGAUGGAGAAGAAUAUGAUGUGGAAGCCCAUGAACAAGGACAGGGGGAUAUCCCUACAUUUUAUACCUAUGAAGAAGGAUUAUCCCAUUUAACAGCAGAAGGGCAAGCCACAUUGGAGAGACUAGAAGGAAUGCUUUCCCAGUCUGUGAGCAGCCAGUAUAACAUGGCUGGGGUACGGACAGAAGAUUCAGUAAGAGAUUAUGAAGAUGGCAUGGAAGUAGAUACUACACCAGCAGUUGCAGGACAGUUUGAAGAUGCAGAUGUUGAUCACUGAAAAGGAUUUAUGUUGCUUUAAGGUUCUGCUCAUAACUGUAGGAGAGAACUUGGUGCCUCUUCCCUCUGAAGAAAGGUUGAUGGAAGUCUUUUUCCUUCUCCAAAACUCACUUAAACCAGUUCUUCUUCCAGAUAAACUAUAUUGAGACAGCAAGUUGUCACCAGCAGAAGAAACUAUGACCUUUAUUAACAAAGGGCACCUAUUUCCUGUUAAGUACCCCCUGGAAAGCCAGUCUGCCCUCAGAAGUCAUCUGGUGAGCAUAUAAUCAAACACUAUGAUGAAGUCUGGUAAAACACCACUGUCCAGGACUGAAAGUAUCUCUCAGUGACAAGACUGUUUUCCCCAGGUUCAAUCUCUGCCUGGUGGACAAGGCUCUCAAUUACAUCUCCAAACAUUCCACAUUUUUAUUGCUGGUUCACAUCCUGUUGAUAUGCUUAUUUACUAAUUAAGCUUUCUAGCUAGCUGAUUUUAGGCUAGUUAUUCUUACAGACCUGGAGAAUGCCAUUAACAUUUCUCAGGUUAGGGGAACAUGUAGGAAUCUGAACAAAAAUCAUUUAACUGGAUGAUUUGAAAAUAGACAAAUUUCUAUAUAAAAGUUGUAAAUUAAACUUACCUGAACUUAUCCCCAAAGGACUUGUGAAUAUCAAAAGAAUCAAUUAUGCCAAAAUGAUCAAGUUAUACUUUAAGCUGAUGAGAAGUUAUAGGGUAAUAGUAAUAGAAGUUAGUAGGGCAAUAUAAUAACAAUAACAUUUCUUAAGCACUUAAUAUAUGCCAGAUGCUAUGCUAAGAACUUGAAAUACUACUCAUACUCUUAUGACAUUGUAUUAUUCU